GACGUAGGGCGCGAGCGUUGUCCGGAUUUAUUGGGCGUAAAGAGCUUGUAGGCGGUUUGUCGCGUCUGCCGUGAAAAUUCGAGGCUCAACCUCGAACUUGCGGUGGGUACGGGCAGACUAGAGUGUGGUAGGGGAGACUGGAAUUCCUGGUGUAGCGGUGAAAUGCGCAGAUAUCUGGAGGAACACCGGUGGCGAAAGCGCGAGACUGGGCCAUAACGUGACGCUGAGGAGCGAAAGCGAUGGGGAGCGAACGGAGGA
rnacentral:rRNA from 1 species